UGGAGCUGAAAUCAGUCGAAGAUACCAGCUGGCUGCAACUGUUUAUUAAAAACACAGCACUGUGCAAACACGAAAGUGGACGUAUACGGUGUGACGCCUGCCCGGUGCCGGAAGGUUAAUUGAUGGGGUUAUCCGUAAGGAGAAGCUCUUGAUCGAAGCCCCGGUAAACGGCGGCCGUAACUAUAACGGUCCUAAGGUAGCGAAAUUCCUUGUCGGGUAAGUUCCGACCUGCACGAAUGGCGUAAUGAUGGCCAGGCUGUCUCCACCCGAGACUCAGUGAAAUUGAACUCGCUGUGAAGAUGCAGUGUACCCGCGGCAAGACGGAAAGACCCCGUGAACCUUUACUAUAGCUUGACACUGAACACUGGUCCUUGAUGUGUAGGAUAGGUGGGAGGCUUUGAAGUGUGGACGCCAGUCUGCAUGGAGCCAUCCUUGAAAUACCACCCUUUAAUGGCUGGUGUUCUAACGUGGGCCCCUGAUCGGGGUUGCGGACAGUGUCUGGUGGGUAGUUUGACUGGGGCGGUCUCCUCCUAAAGAGUAACGGAGGAGCACGAAGGUCAGCUAAUCCUGGUCGGACAUCAGGAGGUUAGUGCAAUGGCAUAAGCUGGCUUGACUGCGAGCGUGACGGCGCGAGCAGGUGCGAAAGCAGGUCAUAGUGAUCCGGUGGUUCUGAAUGGAAGGGCCAUCGCUCAACGGAUAAAAGGUACUCCGGGGAUAACAGGCUGAUACCGCCCAAGAGUUCAUAUCGACGGCGGUGUUUGGCACCUCGAUGUCGGCUCAUCACAUCCUGGGGCUGAAGUAGGUCCCAAGGGUAUGGCUGUUCGCCAUUUAAAGUGGUACGCGAGCUGGGUUUAGAACGUCGUGAGACAGUUCGGUCCCUAUCUGCCGUGGGCGCUGGAGAAUUGAGGGGGGCUGCUCCUAGUACGAGAGGACCGGAGUGGACGCAUCACUGGUGUUCGGGUUGUCAUGCCAAUGGCAUUGCCCGGUAGCUAAAUGCGGAAGAGAUAAGUGCUGAAAGCAUCUAAGCACGAAACUUGCCCCGAGAUGAGUUCUCCCUGACCCUUUAAGGGUCCUGAAGGAACGUUGAAGACGACGACGUUGAUAGGCCGGGUGUGUAAGCGCAGCGAUGCGUUGAGCUAACCGGUACUAAUGAACCGUGAGGCUUAACCUUACAACGCCGAAG
rnacentral:rRNA from 1 species